rnacentral:lncRNA from 1 species
CAGCGACAGUCAAGGUCGAGCUGCCGUGCGUGGGUUCUUUGGGUUCACGACCACCAUCAGACCCGCACCUGCACUUCAUUUUUCCCAGAUCUCGCCCAAAAGAGGUAGAACCUUCACUGCGCGCACACCGGCCGAGCCGAAAGCUCAGGGCACACCCGCUGGGCUUCGCGUACGUCCUUUGCAAGUAUAAAGAGACAACACCAGGAGCUGAGCACCCUCUGGUUGUGACAGAACUUUGCGUCGCCGCUGGCGGCAUAGUGCGCACCAUGAUACCGGUGUUUGCAGUGCUACUCCUCACAUUUACUCCUAGAAAGCUCGGAUGCCACCGUAAUCUUUCCACGAGUGAUUCCGCAAGUGAUCCCGCAAGCGAUCCCGCAAGCGUUCCCUCAAUUGUUCCCGCAUGUACCUCCUGUGCUAGUCCACCAACUUGUCAAGACAAACGUGGUUCCAGCCGUUAGCGUCAAUGGCACGACCUUCGAGCUGCGACCUCCUUUGCCGAAAAGCGGGGACCCACCACCAGUGGAACCCAACCCGUCCGCAGUCGAUGAAGCCGGCAACUGCACCGUCGAAGUAGACGACAAGAAGCCUGUUCCGCCCACUGUGCCAGAACCAUUUGUUCCCGUCCGACUGCCUUUCGUACCCGUAGGUCCCGUAGUGAGAACUGUGCCCUACGUUCCCGGCUACGGCUUCGGCUACGUGCCCUGUUUCAACUGCCCUCGCUUUGUCUUGGGCAACGGCUUCUUGCCCUAUGGCGUUGUCGGGUGAGGAACCCGCUGCUGCCGUAUCGGGGAGCUAUCCUCGCGUGGUAUUUAUUGCAAUAAAAAUGGGUUACUCAAGU